rnacentral:rRNA from 1 species
GUGAACGCUGGCGGUAGGCCUAACACCUGCCAGUCGCACGGCAGCACAGUAAGAGCUUGCUCUUACGGGUGGCGAGUGGCGGACGGGUGAGGAAUACAUCGGAAUCUACUUUUUCGUGGGGGAUAACGUAGGGAAACUUACGCUAAUACCGCAUGCGACCUACGGGUGAAAGCAGGGGAUCUUCGGACCUUGCGCGAUUGAAUGAGCCGAUGUCGGAUUAGCUAGUUGGCGGGGUAAAGGCCCACCAAGGCGACGAUCCGUAGCUGGUCUGAGAGGAUGAUCAGCCACACUGGAACUGAGACACGGUCCAGACUCCUACGGGAGGCAGCAGUGGGGAAUAUUGGACAAUGGGCGCAAGCCUGAUCCAGCCAUACCGCGUGGGUGAAGAAGGCCUUCGGGUUGUAAAGCCCCUUUGUUGGGAAAGAAAAGCAGCAGGUUAAUACCCCGCUGUUCUGACGGUACCCAAAGAAUAAGCACCGGCUAACUUCGUG